CGCAGCUCCAUGAGCCUGUGAGUGGCCAGGGUGGGGCUGGGUGGUGCAGGCAGGAGAGCCAUUGAUCUAUUGCGGGCUCUACUCCCUGCCCCAGCCAGAGCACCCCAUUGGCUACCCACAGGUACACAGCUGCCAGU
ensembl:miRNA Mir3102 microRNA 3102